UACGUAGGGGGCUAGCGUUGUCCGGAAUCAUUGGGCGUAAAGAGCAUGUAGGCGGUCCGGUAAGUCCGCUGUGAAAGUCGGGGGCUCAACCCUCGAAUGCCGGUGGAUACUGUCGGGCUAGAGUGCGGAAGAGGCGAGUGGAAUUCCUGGUGUAGCGGUGAAAUGCGCAGAUAUCAGGAAGAACACCCGUGGCGAAAGCGGCUCUCUGGGACGGUACUGACGCUGAGACGCGAAAGCGUGGGGAGCGAACAGG
rnacentral:rRNA from 1 species